UACGUAGGGUGCGAGCGUUGUCCGGAAUUAUUGGGCGUAAAGAGCUUGUAGGCGGUUGUUGCGUCGGCUGUAGAAAUCCCGACGGCUCAAACCUCGGGUCUGCAGUCGAUACGAGCAACUAGAGUGUUGCAGGGGAGACGUGGAAAUUCCUGGUGUAGCGGUAGAAAUGCGCAGAGUAUCAGGAGGACACCGGUGGCGAAGGCGGGUCUCUGGGCAACACUGACGCUGAGGAGCGAAAGCGUGGGGAGCGAACAGG
rnacentral:rRNA from 1 species